rnacentral:rRNA from 1 species
UGAAAUCCCCGGGCUUAACCUGGGAAUUGCGUUUGAAACUGCAGAACUAGAGUGCGGCAGAGGGAGGUGGAAUUCCAUGUGUAGCAGUGAAAUGCGUAGAGAUAUGGAAGAACAUCGAUGGCGAAGGCAACCUCCUGGGCUAGCACUGACGCUCAUGCACGAAAGCGUGGGGAGCAAACAGGAUUAGAUACCCUGGUAGUCCACGCCCUAAACUAUGUCAACUAGUUGUCGGGUCUUAUUGGGCUUGGUAACGUAGCUAACGCGUGAAGUUGACCGCCUGGGGAGUACGGUCGCAAGAUUAAAACUUAAAUAAAUUGACGG